AUUUAAGGACACCAGAUGAAAAAUAAUGGGCUUUCUCUGAAAGGGCCCAAGGUGCAGCCAGGAGCUUCUUGGGACUGCUUGCAUCUGGAGGUUGCUGGAACAUUGCAUCAACUGCCUAGAUGGCAGGUGGCAGUUCUUCUUGCAAAGUCAUGGGAGAAAGUCAUCAAAUCUACAAUAAAGUAAAUACCCCUUAAUCUUACUCUUUUCUCA
rnacentral:lncRNA from 1 species